CGUGCCUAACAUAUGCAAGUCGAGCGAGAAAAGGGGAGCAAUCCCCUGAGUACAGCGGCGCACGGGUGAGUAACACGUGGGUAAUCUGCCCUGGAGUGGGGAAUAACACCGGGAAACCGGUGCUAAUACCGCAUACGAUCACAGAGUCUGCGGAUUUUGUGCUGAAAGGAGCAAUUCGCUCUAGGAGGAGCCCGCGGCGCAUUAGCUAGUUGGUCAGGUAACGGCUCACCAAGGCGACGAAGCGUAGCCGACCUGAGAGGGUGAUCGGCCACACUGGGACUGAGACACGGCCCAGACUCCUACGGGAGGCAGCAGUGGGGAAUAUUGGACAAUGGGCGAAAGCCUGAUCCAGCAAUGCCGCGUGAGUGAUGAAGGCCUUAGGGUUGUAAAGCUCUUUUACCCGGGAUGAUAAUGACAGUACCGGGAGAAUAAGCUCCGGCUGACUCCGUGCCAGCCGCCGCCGUAACAC
rnacentral:rRNA from 1 species